CAGCCGCCACGGUAAUACGAAGGGUGCAAGCGUUACUCGGAAUUACUGGGCGUAAAGCGUGCGUAGGUGGUGGUUUAAGUCCGUUGUGAAAGCCCUGGGCUCAACCUGGGAAUUGCAGUGGAUACUGGGUCGCUAGAGUGUGGUAGAGGAUAGUGGAAUUUCCGGUGUAGCAGUGAAAUGCGUAGAGAUCGGAAGGAACAUCUGUGGCGAAGGCGACUAUCUGGGCCAACACUGACACUGAGGCACGAAAGCGUGGGGAGCAAACAGGAUUAGAUACCCCCGUAGUCCCUGUCUCUUAUAC
rnacentral:rRNA from 1 species